AUGUAUGGGGUUACGGUUCAGAAAAUAUUAGGGAAUAACAUAGCAUCAAAAAAUGAGGAAAAGAUAGAGACGGAGAUGCUUCCGAUAUUUACGUGUCGGAGACACUCGGGCGGUUCUUCACCUGCGACGAAGCUCAAGAAAUCUGAAGGUGCACAACUCGAAGUAUGGACAUCUCUCACUAUUUUCUUUCUUCGUCGUUUUCUUCUUCUUCUCGCUCCUUCUGUAUUUUCCUCGAUCUCUUCUUUUUUGUUUCGAUUCUGCACUUUCCUGCAUUUCUGA